UACGAAGGGGGCUAGCGUUGCUCGGAACCACUGGGCGUAAAGGGUGCGUAGGCGGGUCUUUUAAGUCAGGGGUGAAAUCCUGGAGCUCAACUCCAGAACUGCCUUUGAUACUGAAGAUCUUGAGUUCGGGAGAGGUGAGUGGAACUGCGAGUGUAGAGGUGAAAUUCGUAGAUAUUCGCAAGAACACCAGUGGCGAAGGCGGCUCACUGGCCCGAUACUGACGCUGAGGCACGAAAGCGUGGGGAGCAAACAGG
rnacentral:rRNA from 1 species